UAUUAUUUUAUAUAUGUCUUAAUAUUUCAUGUUUAAUGGUUUUUAGAAUAUUUUGUUUUUAUUUUCAGGUGAUCCUGACAUCUAAAAUCUCACAAACUUAAGCUAAAUAAGAAAAGGUGCUUACCCUGCUAUCGGUUGUGGCACAACACUAUCACAGCAAUAUCCAGGUUAGACAAUGUUUAAAAUGUCUGUCAGACUGAAGAGUGAUCAUCUCAUUGUUAGCCAAGGUUGCAGAUAAAGAGCAAAAAUAAAGAAAUAAAGUGACCAUCAGGUAUAUAGCUGAGGUCAGAGGGAUCUCCUAUUCAAGCAUUCAAAGAAUCAUUGCCAACAAAUUGCAUAUGAUAAAGCUCUGCAAAUUGGGUUUUGAGAAUCUUAACCAAAAAGUAAAAGGGACAUUGACAUUUUGAGGCUGAAUCUCAAAAAGUUUCAAGCUGAUAGGGUAAACAAUUAUAUAGAUAAAACCUGGAUCCACUAUUUUGGUCUCAGACCAAACAACAAUCCAUGACUUGGAAAUGAGCUUCCUCACUGGCACUAAAGAUAUUCAAAGUGUCAUGUUCCCCGGACGACAUUAUGGUGACCGUUUUUUGGAUCAGGCUCCAAGAAACUUCUACCUCUUUCCUCUACUCAAGGAACACCUCCAAAGCAAGAAAUUUGAAGACAAUGCCGAAGUAAUGAGUGCUCGAAGCGUUUUGGGAAUAUCUAGAUAGUUUUUUUUUUCUAAGGAAUUUUAGUUUUAGAAAGAGAGACUAAAUAUUUUGUCUUGUUAGGAGUUUAUGUAGAAAAAUAAAUAUUUUUUUUAAGCAUCAA